AAAUGAUCAAACUGAAAAAAAAAUCUCUAACUCCAUUAUUUUUCCAGCUUGACGAUCUUGUUUUUAGAUUUGCAAUUCCCUUGUGAAUUUCGCACCGUUCCCUAUUUAUUUAAUCCCCAUACUUGCCACACCACAGAGGAAUAUUUCAAGUUUUCAUACUACAUCUUCACAUAUGUUUAAUAAUCUCUACUGUUCCAAAAUUUCUUAGGCAUUGUGUUUACAAUGCAAACUCCAUUUUGUUAACAAGAAACUCCAUAUCACGAAGAUGGGCCUGAUCCAGAUCAUGG